rnacentral:rRNA from 1 species
UACGUAGGGAGCAAGCGUUGUUCGGAUUUACUGGGCGUAAAGGGCGCGUAGGCGGCAAAUUAAGUCAGCUGUGAAAUCUCCGAGCUUAACUCGGAACUGUCAGCUGAUACUGAUCUGCUAGAGUGCGGAAGGGGCAAUCGGAAUUCUUGGUGUAGCGGUGAAAUGCGUAGAUAUCAAGAGGAACACCUGUGGCGAAAAGCGGCGCACUGGACCACAACUGACGCUGAGGCGCGAAAGCUAGGGGAGCAAACAGG